GAUGAAGAACGUAGCGAAAUGCGAUAAGUAAUGUGAAUUGCAGAAUUCAGUGAAUCAUCGAAUCUUUGAACGCACACUGCGCCCCCUGGUAUUCCGGGGGGCAUGCCUGUCCGAGCGUCAUUACAACCCUCAAGCUCAGCUUGGUGUUGGGCCCCGCCGCCCCGGCGGGCCCUAAAGUCAGUGGCGGUGCCGUCCGGCUCCGAGCGUAGUAAUUCUUCUCGCUCUGGAGGUCCGGUCGUGUGCUCGCCAGCAACCCCCAAUUUUUUCAGGUUGACCUCGGAUCAGGUAGGGAUACCCGCUGAACUUAAGCAUAUCAAUAAGCGGAGGA
rnacentral:misc_RNA from 1 species